UACGUAGGGACCAAGCGUUGUUCGGAUUUACUGGGCGUAAAGGGCGCGUAGGCGGCGCGGUAAGUCACUUGUGAAAUCUCUGAGCUUAACUCAGAACGGCCAAGUGAUACUGCAGUGCUAGAGUGUGGAAGGGGCAAUCGGAAUUCUUGGUGCAGCGGUGAAAUGCGUAGAUAUCGGGAGGAACACCGGUGGCGAAGGCGGUUCUCUGGGCCUUACCUGACGCUGAGGAGCGAAAGCGUGGGGAGCGAACAGG
rnacentral:rRNA from 1 species